AGUCUAAUUCCUAUAAUCCAAGGGGAAGUAUUAAAAACACAUGUGCGCAUAUCAGGAAACUAUCAAAGCACAAACAUAUUUCUGCACACCUGAUGUCCAUCACGCCAUGUGACUUGUAUCCCAUUAGAACGAACACAACAACCAACACAAUUGAAUAGGUCCUUCCUGGCAGCCUGCAGGAGCGUCAAGGAGCCAGCCUUAACUGUAGGGACAUAUCAAGAAAAUUUGAGGCGUUCAAGCACGUGCUCACUGAAACCAAACCAAAUAUUGUCGGCAUCGGCGAGAUGUCCGUGCAGGGUUCAACUUUAGACUUUGCAGACUGCAGACCGCCCCAGCUGGUUCCCCCCUCCCUCCAUCGUGUAAUCUGGUAAGGAGAAGUG
rnacentral:lncRNA from 1 species